rnacentral:lncRNA from 1 species
CAGUGUCUAAGGCAGACCGUUCCAAGAAUGAAAUAAAAAUGGGGUCUGAUGGAAAAGCCAAAGAUGGAUCAAGUGAACAAAUACAUGGCAACUAUGAAGCCCCAUCGAAUCUUGAUUUCUCUGAUUCAGAUGAAGAGAACUCAUCUUCCGCUAAAUCUUGAUUUCUCUGAUUCAGAUGAUGAGAACUCAUCUUCCACUAAAUCAGAAAAUGGGAAGUUGAAAGUGAAGGAGGAAGAUAGCUCAUUGUUACAUAUUCUUGAUUCAUGGUACGGUAGA